rnacentral:rRNA from 1 species
GGAAUAUUGGACAAUGGCCGCAAGGCUGAUCCAGCCAUCCAGCGUGCAGGAAGACGGCCCUAUGGGUUGUAAACUGCUUUUAUCAGGGAAGAAACCUCGGGAUUUACUCCGGAGCUGCCGGUACCUGAAGAAUAAGCACCGGCCAACUCCGUUCCAGCCGCCGCGGUAAUACGGAGGGUGCAAGCGUUAUCCGGAAUUACUGGGUUUAAAGGGUGCGUAGGCGGCUUUGUAAGUCAGGAGUGAAAGUUUGCGGCUUAACCGUAAAAUUGCUUUUGAUACUGCAUCGCUAGCAUUAGGAUGAGGUCAGCGGAAUGUGGCAUGUAGCGGUGAAAUGCAUAGAUAUGCCAUAGAACACCAAUUGCGAAGGCAGCUGGCUAGACCUAUAUUGACGCUGAGGCACGAAAGCGUGGGGAGCGAAC